CAGUCUCUGUAAGAUAUUGGGAUGGAAC
rnacentral:piRNA from 1 species